GUUCUGUGUUACAAGUUACCUGGCUAAGUGAGGAUGAAGUUACCCUUGAGGAAGUUAAUGUGAUGGAGACUGACCAACAACCCUCUACAUCCUCUUCUAUUCCUCGUCCCCAGAGACAGGCUGCUGCACUUUGCAAUGUAAAAAUGAGAGAUUGGCUUAUUCCAAAGUCAAGCUUACAGCAAAGUAGGGUUUUGACUGUUGAGAGCUCUGAUGAUGACUCCCUUCCAGAUAUUCCAGACACUUACAGGAAUUAUGUUGAUGUAGCAUGUAUUUCAUCCGAUU